UACCUAAUUAGGUUUAAUUAAUUGAUUACUAAAAGACUAGCAAAAAGGUAACGCGUAAUAGUUAGGGCUAACUUAUUAAUAAUAUUUAACAAACAUGUGCUAGAAUACCAAUUAAUAUUAGUGGGUAGAUAGGGAAAAGAAAAGGACUCAAACUUAAGUGAAAAUACUAUUACCUUUGAUUGAUAUACACUACUUACUUGUUAUAUAUCAUUUGUAGCAUUAUAGGGUUAUUAAAUUUACUUCAUUCCUAGAAAGAAGAAGAAGAAGAAUAUUUGUUAAUCUUUUUCCAUAUUCCAUAUGCAAUUUUAUGCAUGGUUAACGUGAAGUACUUUCUGGGUUGUUAGGAGGUUAGGGAAUGUGUCCUAUAAAAGUUUUAUCUGGUGAGAAGCGGUUAGAAAAUUAGAGAGUACAUAGGACAGGCUAUGUAGUGGUACUCUUAGAAAACUUUAAGUAUCUACCCUUAUCAGUCAUUUUUCUUUUGGGAAGGGUAACUGCCUUAUCAGUCUUUCCGAAUGAAGGUUCCUUUCUUCCUAUAAAUAGACCCCAUUGGCUGCCUCUUAUAGGUCAUCCCUCUACUUCUCUAACUCCCAAAACUGUUCUAUAUUUCCUUUUAAAGAAACUUUCUUUUCCAUGUUGAUAUUCUCUAUACUCUAAUAAACCCAAACUUCUUCAAGGCUACAUAUAUAUAUAUAUAGAUGGGGAUCAUUAGCUAGCUAGGGAGAGCAGAGGGAGGAGGCACUAGUGGUGAUGUUGUUGACAGAAGAUAGAGAGCACAGAUGAUGAUGUGCAAUGACUUUUUCUGCAUCUCACUCCUUUGUGCUCUCUAUGCUUCUGUCAUCACCUUCAGCCCCCACUCUCUCCUUUGCUGUUCCAAUCCUCUUCUAUAACUCUGUUGUUUGUUUGUUUUUUUCACUAAUUUCUUAAUCUUCCAUCCGUUGUUACAUAUGUUCCUCACUACCCACAUCAAUCAUUAUGAUUUUCCUUUGUUUUCGUUUUUGUUUUUCUUGGUUCUCUGUUCUUUUUUUUUUUUUCUCUGAACUUCAAAACCCGCAAGUAGCACGAGAUGUUUCAUGUCAUGGGACUGAUUCUUGCUGAUGAUUUAUCAAAGGCUAGGGAAAGUAAGCAGCAUCAGUUGUGUAACAAUUGGUAGAACAUAAAAUGCGGUACCAUCUAUUUCUUAUGAUGUUUUCACAUAUACUCAAUUAAGUUUUAUGCUCAAGAUAAUAUGAUACCAAAGUGCUUUGAUUGAAAUUUUCAAAUUGUUAGUGCGUCUUCAAAAUCCCUUUGAGUUAUCUGCAGAAGAUAAAUGAAGAACUCCAUCAGCCAGCUAGCUGAGGACAAGUGCAUACAAGUAUAUCUGGGAACAUAAGCGAAAGGCAUCUUGUUUGAUAUUAUUGGGUAAAAAAAAUGCUGAGGCAGUUGAAAGGCAAAAUUGCUUUCUUUAUGUUGAAGAAGAUGAAUCUGACAACAUUUUUUGUUGCUAUAUAUGCUUAUUAGAUAUUUAGAACUAAAGUGAUUCCUAAAAGCAGUAGGUAGGUACCACAUGCUUUGUGGAGAAGGGGCAUAUAUUUAAAUUAUUGGUGUGUUAGUCAUUAAGGAAUGUGAAUGUGAUGAUAAAGCUGCACAAAGGCACAAGGUAUAUAGUUUCCCAAAUUCCAAAAUGAUAUAGUUCAAUUUGUUACUAUAGCAAGAUUCAAUAAUUUAGCUUGGACCAGGAUACAAUUUUCAGAUAGAUAUAUACCUUUAUGAUAUGUAGGAACUCUAGAGAUUCUGUUACAAUUCAUACUUAUAUCCAUGAAUGUGAUGCAGGAACUUUUCCAUUUAAACUGACCGGUGAACAUCAUAACAAACAGGGCAAUGAGAAACCAAAUAUUUCUUUCUUCUACUGUGGACAUGGAAAUAACAGCAGAAGCUUUAAUGGUUGCCUAGUUCUUGAGGCUUGCCUCCGCUUGUAAUUAAACAAAAAAAGAAACACUCUUCUUCUGAGGGCUGAUAUCUAUUUCUGGAAUUUCGUCAGCAAAUAAUGUAUUACCAAGUCAUUAGGCAGCAGAAAUGCUGAUCUCUAACUGCUCCCUCUGCAAGAAAUUGUUGUACAGCUUCCUGAAAAAGGAGCAAAGUUCAGAAAAUGAGAGACAAUUUUUAGGCCUUCAUGAAA